rnacentral:lncRNA from 1 species
AGUCUGAGCUGCCCAGGUGGGCAUCGACCGGUUGGCUCUCCAGGCACGCUUCUGACUUUGGUAUGGCAGCAGCGGGCCCUUAAGUGUUCCCUAGUAGCGUCCAUAUCGUUUGUGGUCAUUGCUUGUGCGUGGAUGGUGGACUGACAGGACCCGGACCAGGACAAUGGACCGGCAAACGAUGAUCUCCGUAUGUCGCCAGGGGACGCUGUGAGGACCGGGCGGGGCCGACUGGGCAGGGGAGGAGCUAGGUUGAGGACGAGGUCUAUGGUGGGGCCGCUGAGUCUGAACAAUCAAGCAGAGGUGGUAUGGGCGGGGCUGGCUGAGGUGGAGUGGAGACGCCUGACUCGGGGAGGAGUCUGACUGGGAUGAAUUGGUUUGUGGGCGGGGUCAGGAGUGUUUUGACUUGGUUAGGGGUGUGGCAGGUUGGCGGGAUCAGGCUGGUGUACUGUCUGAAGUGGGCGGGGUCGGGAUGGGUCUGGGUCUGAUAGGAGGAUGGAGCUUUGGCCAGGGUGAUGAAUGGAGAGCAGGUCUUAAAUUUCGUUCCCUAAGGGCGAGACCAGGCACUUCAGGCUUGGUUUAUUAGCUGAUGGUCUUUGCUUUCCCCGACGCCCCCUUGUUUUGUUGUUAUUGUCGUGAGAUUGAGCAUCACUAAUGAGUCCAGACUGUCCUGGAACUCUCCUCAGUUCUCCAGCCUAGUCCUCCUAAGGACUGGAGGUACCAAUUAUUUUCUUUGAUACAGAACUUUUUAAAAAAGGGAAAGUUCUUAUGUCAAACGAAGUGCUCUUGAGCCCUCUUGAACAUGGCUUAGGGUUGAGACUUUUGUAUCUAUAAAAUACUCUUUUAUAAAUAAAAUUCCUUUAAUGUAAUAAACCCACACACACAAAAUCACACAGCCAGGUUAAGGUAGCCAUUCAACAAACACUAGUCCAGCUCUAAAGUCUAUACAUCUCAGUGAACUUCUGAAUACUUAUAAUAGCCACAUUUGAAGCCCUGGUACUUCUGCUAGGGUUUUACACUUUUGUUUUUCUGUAAUAUUUUUAACUCUGUCAUAUUUUUCAACUCGGUCAUAUCUUUAUGCAUAAAAUUUAAUUGAUAAUGAAAAUUAUAAUUAAUGGAAUAAAAUACUUUAAAAUU